CCUGCCCAGUGACAAAGUUUAACGGCCGCGGUACCCUAACCGUGCGAAGGUAGCAUAAUCACUUGUUCUUUAAAUAGGGACUCGUAUCAACGGCAUCACGAGGGCUAUACUGUCUCCUUUCUCCAAUCAGUGAAACUGAUCUUCCCGUGAAGAAGCGGGAAUUAUCAUAUAAGACGAGAAGACCCCAUGGAGCUUUAAACUCAAUAUAUAUUUCUACGCAUUUAUAUCACUAUAGCCCAAGAAAACUAUAUGUUGGUUUUGGGUUGGGGGGACCGCGGAGAAAAAAUUAACCUCCACGACAAAUAGGCCAACGCCUUUAUCUACGAACCACAAUUCUAAGAAUCAAUAAACUGAUGUUUAAUGAUCCAAUUUUUUUGAUCAACGAACCAAGUUACCCUGGGGAUAACAGCGCAAUCUACUUCAAGAGCUCCUAUCGACAAGUGGGUUUACGACCUCGAUGUUGGAUCAGGGUAUCCUAGUGGUGCAGCCGCUACUAAAGGUUCGUUUGUUCAACGAUUAAAACCCUACGUGAUCUGAGUUCAGACGGGA
rnacentral:rRNA from 1 species